CGUAGGUGGCAAGCGUUGUCCGGAAUUAUUGGGCGUAAAGCGCGCGCAGGCGGUUCCUUAAGUCUGAUGUGAAAGCCCCCGGCUCAACCGGGGAAGGUCAUUGGAAACUGGGGAACUUGAGUGCAGAAGAGAAGAGCGGAAUUCCACGUGUAGCGGUGAAAUGCGUAGAGAUGUGGAGGAACACCAGUGGCGAAGGCGGCUCUUUGGUCUGUAACUGACGCUGAGGCGCGAAAGCGUGGGGAGCAAACAGGAUUAGAUACCCUGGUAGUCCACGCCGUAAACGAUGAGUGCUAAGUGUUAGAGGGUUUCCGCCCUUUAGUGCUGCAGCUAACGCAUUAAGCACUCCGCCUGGGAGUACGGCCGCAGGGCUG
rnacentral:rRNA from 1 species